ACGGGCACUGCGAACGCGCUCUCGAAGUCAACACGGGCACUAACCACGAAAGAGAAGCACUUAAAAGGAAACGCUUACACUAUAUUGGAUCCAGAUGCGAUACUUCUGGGAUAUCUUGGAGAGAGUGUACCCUCCGCGCGCCAGCAUUCAGGAACAACUCGCUGACCUUCGGUUACCCGCUCAAGUAGCAACUAGCGACGCACUCCGCAGCGUGGCGCGCGAAUACAUCGACGCCGUGAUGUACUACCUUCGCUGCGACUUGAUGCUGCACAGAGUCGGGACAACGGAGCUUCGCAGCAUGGCAGGCCAUACUGGAUGGCUGCUGCAUGACGGCACCUUCCGGGGCCCUUGGUCACAUAGUCCACGACGGCGCGCCCUGGCCGAUUGAGGUACCGCACUGGGUAAUCGGCCCACCGUUGCCGCAACGCUAUGACGUCGCCGCCGUCAUGCUGAUUGAAGACUGCGAGUUCGAGGCCUUUUACGAGAACAGCUACACGCGAUCUAUCGCGGGCAAGGUGUCCGGAAUAGUAGAGGAGGUGAGAGUGAGCAUCAUCAUUGGCCACCCAGAGGGGCGGAAUGGCAGGCCUCGGCUGAAGUUCAUCGAAACAACGCAUAUGACCUGCCCGAAGACUGACCACCACAGCCUUGGCCCUCGCACCCAAAAGGUUUUCGAAAAAGCCAUUGGACAAGGUAUACGCAGGUGCGUCGACCAAGCAAUGUCGUUCAGCGUGGCUCCAGUGCUUGACAAUUUGCUCAGCCGCGUUGCUUACCCGGACUUCACUAAUGUGCGCCAAUAGAAGGAAUGCAUCACCCCCGCAAGAGUGCCUGUAAAAUCAGUCUCGCUUCGCGAGAUCUCGUGAGACUAACGAGGAAACUGCACUGUUUUUAAGCGACAAAGCGUGAAAGAUUGCGGUCACAAGACUCCUUUCACGAGCACAUUGUACUGUAUGCCUGUAAAAAUAAAAAGUGAAAUGACUGUGCCCGCAAAGAG